GGGUUGUGGGUUUUAGCUGUUCGGAAUCCACAAACCAUCCCGACCGACGGUCAGAAUUUUUUUGAAUAUGUCCUUGGGUUUAUUCGAGACUUGAGAAAAACUCAGAUUGGAGAAGAAUAUGGUCCCUGGGUUCCCUUUAUUGGAACUAUGUUCCUUUUUAUUUUUGUUUCGAAUUGGUUGGGUGCUCUUUUACCUUGGAAAAUUAUAGAGUUACCCCAUGGGGAAUUAGCAGCACCCACGAAUAUACACUGGCACUAUAAUAUCAGAUUGGGGGGGGGGGAGAUCGGAAUUAGCAAUUGA
rnacentral:rRNA from 1 species